rnacentral:rRNA from 1 species
AUUGAACGCUGGCGGAAUGCUUUACACAUGCAAGUCGAGCGGCAGCGCGGGGCAACCUGGCGGCGAGCGGCGAACGGGUGAGUAAUGCAUCGGAACGUACCCAGUCGUGGGGGAUAACUGUCCGAAAGGACAGCUAAUACCGCAUACGUCCUGAGGGAGAAAGCGGGGGACCGCAAGACCUCGCGCGAUUGGAGCGGCCGAUGCCGGAUUAGCUAGUUGGUAGGGUAAAGGCCUACCAAGGCGACGAUCCGUAGCUGGUCUGAGAGGACGACCAGCCACACUGGAACUGAGACACGGUCCAGACUCCUACGGGAGGCAGCAGUGGGGAAUUUUGGACAAUGGGGGCAACCCUGAUCCAGCCAUUCCGCGUGAGUGAAGAAGGCCUUCGGUCGUAAGACUCUGUGGGAGGAGAAGAAUAAAGACCUGUGAAGAGCAGGCCGUUGACGGUAGUCUCCUUACGUCAAGCACCGGCUAACUCCGUGCCAGCAGCCGCGGUAAA